rnacentral:pre_miRNA from 1 species
GUCAUACUCUCUUCGUCCGGAAUUAUUUGUCGUGGAAAUGAAUAAAAAUGGAUGUAUCUAGAACUAAAAUACAUCUAGAUAUAUCCAUUUCUCCGACAAGUAUUUUCGGACGGAGGGAGUAUAUG